rnacentral:lncRNA from 1 species
UUUUGAAUUAGUGUUGUCAGCUGCUUCUUGGGCUGGAGAUCAAGACCUACCCAUUGUGAUGAAUAAAUCCAGGCUCUCAGCAAUGCAGGGAGAAAAAGUUUUGUCUAUCAACACUGCAGCAACCAGUCUCUUAGCACAGGCACCAGCCCUGGAGUUCAUGUCCUCAUCAAAGGAUGGAAAGAAGCAAAGCUCAAAUCAGCUUGGGAAGGACCUUACCUAGUGCUCCUGACCACUGUAACCAUCAUCCAGACAGCAGAGAAAGGAUGGACUCAUUAUACCCGAGUCAAAGUGUUGCCACCUCCACAGUCAUGGGCCAUUGUUCCAGGGGAAAGCCCUACCAAAU